rnacentral:rRNA from 1 species
CCUACGGGUGGCAGCAGUGAGGAAUAUUGGUCAAUGGUCGUAAGCCUGAACCAGCCAAGUCGCGUGCAGGAUGACGGCCCUAUGGGUUGUAAACUUCUUUUAUGCGGGGAUAAAAUGCGUCACGUGUGACGUUUUGUAGGUACCGCAUGAAUAAGGACCGGCUAACUCCGUGCCAGCAGCCGCGGUAAUACGGAAGGUCCGAGCGUUAUCCGGAUUUAUUGGGUUUAAAGGGGGCGUAGGCGGCAUGUUAAGCGUGCGGUGAAAUGCCGUGGCUCAACCAUGGCACUGCCGUGGAAACUGGCUGGCUUGAGUGCGCGUGAGGUAUGCGGAAUUCGUGGUGUAGCGGUGAAAUGCUUAGAUAUCACGAAGAACCCCGAUUGCGAAGGCAGCAUACGGCGGCGCUACUGACGCUGAUGCACGAAAGCGCGGGGAUCGAACAGGAUUAGAUACCCUAGUAGUC